GUCGGCGUUGAAUCCAAUUGAACCGCAGCAUCCACCCCUUGUGGUGCUCUCCCGCCAAUUCCUUUAAGUUUCAUUCUUGCGAACGUACUCCCCAAGCGGCAGACUAAACGGUUUCCCUACGGCACUGCAACCAAUCGAAUUGGCUGCAACGCCAAGUCUGCAUCAUUUACUGCUAGGACUACCGGGGUAUCUAAUCCCGUUUGCUCCCCUAGCCUUCGUCCCUCACCGUCAGACGUGUUUUAGCCAAGCGCUUUCGCCACUGGUAGUCCGUUAAGGAUUAAAGCAUUUUACCGCUCCCCCUAACGUACUCUUGGCUUCCCCCACUCUCGAGCCUCGUAGUAUUUCCCGCACGCCUCUCUGUUAAGUAGAGAGAUUUGACGGGAAACUUGCGAAGCCGGCUACGGGCGCUUUAAGCUCAAUAUUCGCGGACACCACUCGUGCCACCUGUAUUACCGCGGCGGCUGGCACAGGAUUUGCCCAGACCCUUAUUCCACUAGUGAUUAAGGCUAAUGAAAAGCUAGCCGUUAGGCUAGCACUCGGACUACCCCCGUCACGCUUUCGCGCAUUGCGGAAGUUUCUCGCCUGCUGCACCCCGUAGGGCUCGGGCCCUUGUCUCAGUGCCCGUCUGGGGGCUCCUACUCCCAUAGCCCCUACUGAUUAUCGCCUUGGUGAGCCAUUACCUCGCCAACUAGCUAAUCAGCCGCAGUCCCAUCCCAAAGCGAAACUCCCUGCAAUUUAGGAGCUCGUAUCAGUCAAGAGUCGUUCCAGACUUCUUGGCUUACCGGGAAUUAUCCUCAAUUUCUCGAGGUUAUGCCCGUCUUUGGGGUAGGUUGACUACGUGUUACUCAGCCGUACGCC
rnacentral:rRNA from 1 species